rnacentral:rRNA from 1 species
UCCGUAGGUGGAUAAUUAAGUCAGAGGUGAAAUCCUGCAGCUCAACUGUAGAAUUGCCUUUGAUACUGGUUAUCUUGAGUUAUUAUGAAGUAGUUAGAAUAUGUAGUGUAGCGGUGAAAUGCAUAGAUAUUACAUAGAAUACCAAUUGCGAAGUCAGAUUACUAAUAAUCAACUGACACUGAUGGACGAAAGCGUGGGGAGCGAACAGGAUUAGAUACCCUGGUAGUCC